rnacentral:rRNA from 1 species
AACGAACGCUGGCGGCAUGCCUAACACAUGCAAGUCGAACGAGACCUUCGGGUCUAGUGGCGCACGGGUGCGUAACGCGUGGGAACCUGCCCUUAGGUUCGGAAUAACUCCCCGAAAGGGGUGCUAAUACCGGAUAAUGUCUUCGGACCAAAGAUUUAUCGCCUUUGGAUGGGCCCGCGUUGGAUUAGCUAGUUGGUAGGGUAAAAGCCUACCAAGGCGACGAUCCAUAGCUGGUCUGAGAGGAUGAUCAGCCACACUGGGACUGAGAAACGGCCCAGAAUCCUACGGGAGGCAGCAGUGGGGAAUAGUGGACAAUGGGCGAAAGCCUGAUCCAGCAAUGCCGCGUGAGUGAUGAAGGCCUUAGGGUUGUAAAGCUCUUUUACCCGGGAUGAUAAUGACAGUACCGGGAGAAUAAGCCCCGGCUAACUCCGUG